CAAGGAAAAUCUCAAAAAUUCAAAUUCAUCUCCUUGUAAAAGAAGCAAUCCUGUUCCUUUGCUUUCUUGAAAAGUUAGUCUCACAAGGGGUCUAUUGCAGUAAUUAUCAGUAUCUUGAUAACAAGCAAACCUGCCAAAAGGGGUAAGCACAUUUGGCCGCUCUGGGAAAAGAACCUGCAAAGUAGAAAGAGUUUAAGAAAGCUUGAUGAAAGUGCUUCUGUAAAUGUGACACUAAAUAUGAUCAAUACAAUAAGCAGCAAUUUUGUGAUAUCCUAAGUAUGAUCGAUACAACGAGCAGCAAUUUUGUUCAUAUCACAACAGAACAUGUACUCUCUAUAUACAGAAACAUUAUAUGCAGAACAAGGAAAGAAAAAAAGGAAUGGAAAAACUAAAAAGAAAAAAAAACUGGCUUGUUUCCUUCACCAAUAUAAGA
rnacentral:lncRNA from 1 species